ACUCAAAGGAAUAGACGGGGGCCCGCACAAGCGGUGGAGCAUGUGGUUCAAUUCGACGCAACGCGAAGAACCUUACCCAGGCUCGAACGGCAAGUGACACCCUACGAAAGUAGGUUUCCGCAAGGACAGUUGUCGAGGUGCUGCAUGGCUGUCGUCAGCUCGUGUCGUGAGAUGUUGGGUUAAGUCCCGCAACGAGCGCAACCCUUGUCCGCUGUUGCCAUCACGUUAUGGUGGGCACUCUGCGGAGACUGCCGGUGAUAAACCGGAGGAAGGUGGGGAUGACGUCAAGUCAGCAUGGCCUUUAUGUCUGGGGCUACACACGUGCUACAAUGGCCGACACAAACCGUCGCGAUACCGCGAGGUGGAGCUAAUCGGACAAAGUCGGUCUCAGUUCGGAUUGCAGGCUGCAACUCGCCUGCAUGAAGUUGGAAUCGCUAGUAAUCGCGGAUCAGCACGCCGCGGUGAAUACGUUCCCGGGCCUUGUACACACCGCCCGU
rnacentral:rRNA from 1 species